rnacentral:misc_RNA from 1 species
GAAUAGCAAGGACUUUUGGUUGUCGCUGGCUCCCUCGGGGGCAUGUGCACGCCUGGUCCAAACUUUCAUUCAUUAACCUCCUGUGCACUUUUUGUGGAUCGCGGAUGAGCAAACUUUUUCGAAGUAACAUUCGGUUUUGGGACUUGCGUCUAAUCCGCGCUUGUCUCUACUAGUUUAUCCGCGGUUCAUGUCUUUUCUACACACUACAAAUUUAAACCUAGAAUGCUUCAAAGUUGGGACUUUAGUGACCCUUCUUAAAUUUAAUACAACUUUCAACAACGGAUCUCUUGGCUCU